ACGCUCGACACCUACGAGAGGCAGCAGUGGGGAAUAUUGGGCAAUGGGCGCAAGCCUGACCCAGCAACGCCGCGUGAAGGAAGAAGGCCCUCGGGUUGUAAACUUCUUUUGUCAGGGACGAAGCAAGUGACGGUACCUGACGAAUAAGCCACGGCUAACUACGUGUCAGCAGCCGACGGUAAUCUGGAGGCGGGCUGGACGAAGGC
rnacentral:rRNA from 1 species